GAAUAUUGGACGAUGGGAGGAACCCUGAUCCAGCCAUGCCGCGUGUGUGAAGAAGGCCUUUUGGUUGUAAAGCACUUUAAGCGAGGAGGAGGCUACUCGAGUUAAUACCUAGGGAUAGUGGGCGUUACUCGCAGAAUAAGCACCGGCUAACUCUGUGCCCGCAGCCGCGGUAAUACAGAGGGUGCAAGCGUUUAUCGGAUUUACUGGGCGUAUAGCGCGCGUAGGUGGCCAAUUAAGUCAAAUGUGAAAUCCCCGAGCUUAACUUGGGAAAUGCAUUCGAUACUGGUUGGCUAGAGUAUGGCAGAGGAUGGUAGAAUUCCAGGUGUAGCGGUGAAAUGCGUAGAGAUCUGGAGGAAUACCGAUGGCGAAGGCAGCCAUCUGGCCUAAUACUGACACUGAGGUGCGAAAGCAUGGGGAGCAAACA
rnacentral:rRNA from 1 species